rnacentral:rRNA from 1 species
UUGAACGCUGGCGGAUGUUUUACACAUGCAAGCCGAACGGCAGCACGGACUUCGGUCUGGUGGCGAGUGGCGAACGGGUGAGUAAUGUAUCGGAACGUGCCUAGUAGCGGGGAUAACUACGCCGAGAAAGGGUAGUAGCUAAUACCGCAUACGCCCUUCGGGGGAAAGCGGGGACCUUUCGGGCCUCGCACUAUUAGAGCGGCCGAUAUCGGAUUAGCUAGUUGGUGGGGUAACGGCUCACCAAGAAAGACGAUCCGUAGCUGGUUUGAGAGGACGCACCAGCCACACUGGGACUGAGACACGGCCCAGACUCCUACGGGAGGCAGCAGUGGGGAAUUUUGGACAAUGGGGAAACCCUGAUCCAGCCAGCCCGCGUGUGCGAUGAAGGCCUUCGGGUUGAGCACUUUUGGCAGGAAAGAAACGGCACGGGAUAAUACCCUGCAACUGGACGGUACCUGCAGAAUAAGCACCGGCUGACCACGCCAGCAGCCGCGGUAAUAUGUAGGGUAAGCGUUAAUCGGAAUUACCAUGAAGCGUGCAGGCGGCUCGGAAAGAAAGAUGUGAAAUCCCAGAGCUUAACUUUGGAACUGCAUUUUUAACUACCGAGCUAUGCGUCGAGGAGGAAUUCCGCGUGUAGCAGUGAAAUGCGUAGAUAUGCGGAGGAACACCGAUGGCGAAGGCAGCCUCCUGGGAUAACACUGACGCUCAUGCACGAAAGCGUGGGGAGCAAACAGGAUUAGAUACCCCGGUAGUCCACGCUCCUAAACGAUGUCAACUGGGCUAGUUGGGGCCUUCUGGGCCUGGUAGCGCAGCUAACGGGUGAAGUUGACCGCCUGGGGAGUACGGUCGCAAGAUUAAACCUCAAAGGAAUUGACGGGGACCCGCACAAGCGGUGGAUGAUGUGAUUAAUCUGAUGCAACGCGAAAACCUUACCUACCCUUGACAUGUCUGGAAUCCCGAAGAGAUUUGGAAAGUGCUCGCAAGAGAACCGGAACACAGGUGCUGCAUGGCUGUCGUCAGGGUCAGUCGAGAUGUUGGGUUAAGUCCCGCAACGAGCGCAACCCUUGUCAUUAUUGUUACGAAAGGGCACUCUAAUGAGACUGCCGGUGACAAACCGAGGAAGGUGGGGAGACGUCAAGUCCUCAUGGCCCUUAUGGGUAGGGCUUCACACGUCAUACAAUGGUCGGGACAGAGGGCUCAACCGGCGAGGGGGAAAGCCAAUCCCAGAAACCCGAUCGUAGUCCGGAUCGCAGUUCGCAACUCGACUGCGUGAAGUCGGAAUCGCUAGUAAUCGCGGAUCAGCAUGUCGCGGUGAAUACGUUCCCGGGUCUUGUACACACUGCCCGUCACACCAUGGAAGUGGGUUUUACCAGAAGUAGUUAGCCCAACUCGUAAGGAGGGCGAUUACCACGGUAGGAUUCAAGAUCAAGAAGUCACCAUGUAG